rnacentral:tRNA from 1 species
GGAGGGUUACCCAAGAGGUCGUAAGGGGGCGGUCUUGAAAACCGUUUGGCGUUCGCGUCACGAGAGUUCGAAUCUCUCACCCUCCGCCA